CUGGUGUGUAGGUAGGAGGACCAGAAGAUCAAGGGUUUUCUUGGCUACAUAACAACUCCAGCCAGGAGAAUGUGAAAUCCUGUCUCAAAAAUAAAAUAAAAGCAAAACUGUUAGCAUUUGGAUUCUGAAGCAAACCUGAACAAGUUUUGGGCCCUAGAGAUCUACUCAUGGUGAAGGUAGGGUGUGUGUGUAGGGUAGGGCGGUAGGGUGGAAGGGUGGAAGGGUGGAAGGGCAGUAGGGCGGUAGGGUGGGAAGGCUGGGCUUGUGUUCUUGACAAUGUGCAAGCAGAAAGAGCUCUCCAGAUCCAUUGCUGUUAAUGGUCCCCCUAUGUAUUGUAUCUUCUCUUCUUUACUGUUCUCCCUUUCAUCUGCUCCAUAUUCUGAAGUCUGUGCUAUCUCAGAAUAAAUCCUUUUUUUAUCUCCAGGCAGACCACUUCCCUCUUCACAGCCAAGAACCUUGACCAAGUUGUCUCCAUCCUCCAGUGGCCUCUUCUUUCCACCCACCUGUGAGGAGCUGUGAACUCCCGCUGUGCCCAGUCUCAGACCACAACCACUCCCACCACAGUCACAGGAGACCCGGGUAGGGGAGCCUCCCUGGACACACCCUACUGGCAUGACACACCUGCACAGCAGCUCACAUCUGAAGCCAACUCUUCUGGGGUCCUGGUGGUUCCAAAGACUCUUCUAGUCCUCUCCCUCAGAAGCACGUGUGAAGGGACAGCAAGGAUGCUCUCUAGGGUUGCUCACACCCACUAUGGUCCCUAUGUCUUCUUGCACCUGUGUGAUUUCUCUGCAGGGGUGACAGGUUGGAGACUGAUUUCUUCGGUGCAGUGGCCCUCAGGGAUAGCCUGACCCCUUAGUCAUCCCUAUGCCCUGACUCCAUCUCCCCUCCUGCCUGUGGCCUCAUAGGUUACCUCUUACUUUUUAACCUAAAAACAGAAAAGAUUUAUUUAAUGCACACGUGUGCUUUACCUGUGUGUUUGUCAUACAUUACAUAAAAAAGUUGAAACAAAAUUAAAAGAGGAAAUGAAACGCUUGAAGUCACAAUGGUGACCCAAGACAAGCACAGGGGUGGGCACUGAAAUUCUUAAAGUAACAGCUAGCAAGCUGUCUUCCA
rnacentral:lncRNA from 1 species